GAGGUAUCAGAAGUGCGAAUGCUGACAUAAGUAACGAUAAAGCGGGUGAAAAGCCCGCUCGCCGGAAGACCAAGGGUUCCUGUCCAACGUUAAUCGGGGCAGGGUGAGUCGACCCCUAAGGCGAGGCCGAAAGGCGUAGUCGAUGGGAAACGGGUUAAUAUUCCCGUACUUGGUGUUACUGCGAAGGGGGGACGGAGAAGGCUAUGUUGGCCGGGCGACGGUUGUCCCGGUUUAAGCGUGUAGGUGUGUGUUCCAGGUAAAUCCGGUUCACUUUAACACUGAGGCGUGACGACGAGGCACUACGGUGCUGAAGCAACAAAUGCCCUGCUUCCAGGAAAAGCCUCUAAGCAUCAGGUAACAUCAAAUCGUACCCCAAACCGACACAGGUGGUCAGGUAGAGAAUACCAAGGCGCUUGAGAGAACUCGGGUGAAGGAACUAGGCAAAAUGGUGCCGUAACUUCGGGAGAAGGCACGCUGACACGUAGGUGAAGUGAUUUACUCAUGGAGCUGAAGUCAGUCGAAGAUACCAGCUGGCUGCAACUGUUUAUUAAAAACACAGCACUGUGCAAACACGAAAGUGGACGUAUACGGUGUGACGCCUGCCCGGUGCCGGAAGGUUAAUUGAUGGGGUCAGCGCAAGCGAAGCUCCUGAUCGAAGCCCCGGUAAACGGCGGCCGUAACUAUAACGGUCCUAAGGUAGCGAAAUUCCUUGUCGGGUAAGUUCCGACCUGCACGAAUGGCGUAAUGAUGGCCAGGCUGUCUCCACCCGAGACUCAGUGAAAUUGAACUCGCUGUGAAGAUGCAGUGUACCCGCGGCAAGACGGAAAGACCCCGUGAACCUUUACUAUAGCUUGACACUGAACAUUGAGCCUUGAUGUGUAGGAUAGGUGGGAGGCUUUGAAGUGUGGACGCCAGUCUGCAUGGAGCCGACCUUGAAAUACCACCCUUUAAUGUUUGAUGUUCUAACGUGGACCCGUUACCCGGGUUGCGGACAGUGUCUGGUGGGUAGUUUGACUGGGGCGGUCUCCUCCUAAAGAGUAACGGAGGAGCACGAAGGUUGGCUAAUCCUGGUCGGACAUCAGGAGGUUAGUGCAAUGGCAUAAGCCAGCUUGACUGCGAGCGUGACGGCGCGAGCAGGUGCGAAAGCAGGUCAUAGUGAUCCGGUGGUUCUGAAUGGAAGGGCCAUCGCUCAACGGAUAAAAGGUACUCCGGGGAUAACAGGCUGAUACCGCCCAAGAGUUCAUAUCGACGGCGGUGUUUGGCACCUCGAUGUCGGCUCAUCACAUCCUGGGGCUGAAGUAGGUCCCAAGGGUAUGGCUGUUCGCCAUUUAAAGUGGUACGCGAGCUGGGUUUAGAACGUCGUGAGACAGUUCGGUCCCUAUCUGCCGUGGGCGCUGGAGAACUGAGGGGGGCUGCUCCUAGUACGAGAGGACCGGAGUGGACGCAUCACUGGUGUUCGGGUUGUCAUGCCAAUGGCACUGCCCGGUAGCUAAAUGCGGAAGAGAUAAGUGCUGAAAGCAUCUAAGCACGAAACUUGCCCCGAG
rnacentral:rRNA from 1 species